GCCGCCGCCCCCGCCGCCGCCGCGCAACAACACCAGGUGGCGACUGCGGCCGGCGCGCGGCUGCUGGCGCGCGCGGCGGCGCCGCACCCGCACGUGGUGGUGCCGCACGCGCCGCACGCGCCGCACGCGCCGCACGCGCCGCACGCGCCGCACGCGCCGCACGCGCCGCACCCGCCGCCCGCCGACCACUGACCGAGUGCACAGAAUACCCUCCCGCGCGGGGUGCCGACCGUAAACCGAAACGUGAACAAUAAACGUUGACUGAUGUUA